rnacentral:lncRNA from 1 species
UGCCUUCUUAAAAUAUUACUCCGAAUGUCAAGUUGAACACAUUAAAAUAGUUAAACAAAGGAUUGAGAUUAUCUGUGAAUCACCAUAAUGGACACAGACACACAGUACAGUAAAAACAAGCAAACCAAAAAUCUGCAACCGUUUUCCCACAAACAGUAAAUCACAUUGCAUCUUUCUUUCUUAAGCUGUAGAGGUGAAGUUGAAAUUUGCACAAGUAGUUUUCCCGAACAGCAAUGAAGAGCUGAACCCAAGUCUUGAACUUGCAAGAUCAAAUUGCAGUAGGUUAUCUUCCAACUGAUGCCCUCCAAUGACUAUAGAAGUCCUGGGAUUAACCCCGCCAUCUACAAAACCAAGGCAAAUAACAUCUUUCUUCACUUGCACCAUAGAGUUGGCACCAAAUAUUCUCCAAACCACACUGCUGCUCUGCAACACCAGAUCGAUCGGAGGCACAGCAGGACCAACUCUAGUGCUUCCAAUCGCAGUCGAGUCGAAACACAAAUCGAACGGUGCAACUGCUGCAACUCUAGGGACUUUAGAAAGCUGUCUAGCAAAAGCAUUAGUGAGAGCUUUGUGAAUGGAAGUCUCGAGUACGGUGUAAGGUUGAACAGUGCUGAUCUUUGUCCCACCAUUCCCUUCGUUGUCGAUUUUUAGCAAUGUUGCAUUCAAUGGGACGGUAUAAUCUCCGUUGAUCUUGAUUGACUUAACUCCAAUGAAAUAGUCAGAGGAAGCAUCACCCUCAAAAGAACCAGAAGCUGUGCUCACCUUGUUCAGAAUCAAGGGGGUGUACAUAAGUGACUUUGAGACAUCCAUUUUUGGCAUAAGGACAUAAGGGCCAUCUCCGAAAAAGACAACUCCUUUCGAAUUUACCGACGAGCUCAAACAAAUAGCAAACUUCCUGUGAAAACUGAAAGUAGCAGAGAAUUGGGAUGGGAUUGAGAUUUUAGUCCUCCCAAGUCCAGCCAUACCUUUAACACCCUUAGCAAGUCCCUCUAGUAAGAAUGUGGCACCACAAGUAAAGAGCAAGUUUGGAACUUUGGCAAGUCGUCCGGGAUUGGAUCCAUCAGUUGAUUGAAUGGACACAACAUCCUGGCCGAACUCUCCAGAGGUACCGGUCCGGGUCACUGUGUUUUCAGGCAUAAGGGCACAUGUAUUGUUACUGCACCCUGGUUUGAGACUUGAGUAGCAUUCAGUGAUGCAGCUCUGUGAGUUUGCGAGAUUGCACAGAGCCGAUCUGCAACGAUUAGGCUUGUAGGAUGAAGAGACAUAGGCUUGUUCACAGUCAACCCACAUGUACUGCCCGCCAAGGUCAACAGAUAGCUUGACUGGGACAAGAGGGGUUCUUUGGUUGAUUUGGGCAAUGUAUUGGAGAGUUGAUGGGUCUUUAGAAACUGGAAGGACAAGUGCUUUAGGCCUGAAUGAUGAUUUUGCUUCAGAUGUUGUGAUGGAGAAGAGAAGACAUGAAAAAAGAAGGAAGAUGCAGCUACAAGGAAGAGCCAUUGUUUGGUUUGGUUGCUUUUGGUGAUGUGCAAAGAUGAGUUUGUGAGUAAUCAUAAUGCCUAUUCAGUCUGUGUUAUUUAUAUUGGUUUCUUUCUGUAUGAAGACGCGGCCAUGUUACAGACAGACAGCUAUGAAGGAAUUGUUAUAUCCAAGUGUGAUUAAACAUUGACCAAGACGAGUCUAUCUUAACAUAAAAAUAUGCCAUCUUUAUUCAAAUUGGUCAUGUCUGUAGACUAUAAUUCAACAUACUUUGGUUGUUCUUUAUAAUAUAAAAAACAUACUCUGGUUGUUAAAUCAUGGAAUGAAGUGGCAAAUGGCAAAAAAGCAUCGAAUUAUUCAGUAUAAAGAAAUGAAAACGAAUCUUCCAUUAAUUAUUCAGCACCAAGCAACGGGAAGCUCGUCUAUUUCCUUUAUUUGAUCUGGGUUGGCUUAAAUCUAUUAUUUCGGAAUAAAAUUUGGCUACAAAAGAAAAUCGAAUUUCUUCAACAGUUGUGCAUUCAAGAUAACAAUCAAAGUUACAAAUUGAUGAAACCAUAAAGCUGUGUACCUGUUGAUUCGGCUGCUGCACGUUGGUAUCAUCAUUUCACAUUGAUGAUUUUCCAGCUUUUCGAGAUUCAUAUGGUUCUUUUGCUGGUCGGGUUCCGAUGCCGACGACCUGAGGAUAGUUAUGUGUAGCUAUGUCUAUGAGAUACUUUCUUGAGUAACUGUCUGCACAAAUAGUUGAUCUACGUGUGGUGAAUGUGGGAAGUAGAUCUUCGUCAUCACCUCCAUUUUUAAAGGACAGUUUCCUAGUCAUUGGAGACGGCAAGCGCUCCUGCCAUAGUUUGGCAACGUGACCCCAAUUUGGAUAAAAUUGUAUGCUUCUAAUAGUAAUUUUUGGCGUUAAAAAUACACCAUCUUUUGGUAAAGAUUUUGAUUGCACCAGUGAUUUUUUAUUUUUUCUCAUCACCUCAUUCAAUUGAUCCAUAUAUCUAUCUAUCUAUGUUAUAACAAAGACGAUCAAAACCCUCCUUCAUAAGUUGAUGAGUCUCCACCAUAAGUUGGCGAUCCUCCUCCAUCAUCGAACGGAAUGACGUGACUAUGGUAGUUACAUCAACAAUUGGCGGCAAAGGCUCCAUCAUGUCAUUGUUCAUGAUAAUACUUUUCGUUGUCUGGCCAAGUUCAAACUUGGCCAAAUGCUCCCUCACAAACUCAGGUGAGAGAUCACUUUUUUGCUUCCUCUCCUGCGGAGCCAUCAAAUCAAACACAAAGGGUCCCACCAAACGUGUCAAUUUGUUUUCCGGUGAGAAAACCUACGUUGACUCGAAUUGAAUGCGAUUGACUUCUAUGAACAAGGAUUGAUUUCUGGCAGUACAAACUAAAUUAAAUUACCCCUACUCCUAUGAAGAUUCUGCGAGAGCUCCAAAAUCUAAAGUUAUAGUUAAAGUUGUUGAGAAUGAAAGAUAACUUGACAAGUGGUGUUAGAGUUGUGGGUUUUGUGAACCUGUGCUUUUGUCGAUGUAGUCAUCAAUGGUAACUUGCUUGAAGAAAACUGCUCCCUCCUUUUUAGCAACGUGGGCAACAUGGUGAUAUUGCCAUGUAGGUUGAGAUGAUGACUGUGAUGAUCGGGUAACUUCGACGCGUGCUAGUAAUUUGGGAUGACAUUUUAAAUAAUACACUUAAUUUGGCUUUAAUAAAAUGGUUUAAAUUUUUUGAAUUAAUCAUGUGGUAUUAAAACUAAUUUUUGGUGUGAACACUAAAAUUCUCACGAAAUAGAUUUUCGCUCUUUUCCUUGUAUUCUUUUCAGUAAAAUUUCCUCCUACAAAGACUAGUUGUGCUAUCAUCGAUCGAAACUCACAAACCAGUAAAACAUGACACUAGGCAGCAUGUGAAAAAGAAUGAAUAUGAUGCUCUAGUGAGAAAUAAUGCAUGGUUACCAGUGCAUUAUCCUACUAAUGUCAAUGUGGUUGGAUCCAGUUUCCAGGACAAAGCGGCACUCCGAUGGUUCUUUGAUGGGUUGUGACGAAGUUCUUCAGAUCUCCGCAUUAUAUGCUUCGAGAAUCGAGAGUGUCAGGCGAGAGAAUUCAAAGCAGCAGCAUCAAUUUGAGGAUAUGCCUGGUUUGGUUUUGGGCUAUAAUUUAACAUUGAACCUCUAUCCUGAACAGUUGGACACACUACUCAGAAACAAACAAAACCCAAAUCUGGGAAAUUUUUCCCCACAAACAGUAAAUCACAUUGCAUAAUCCCCCCACUUUCUUUCUUAAGCUUUAGAUGUAAAGUUGAAGUUGGCACAACUAGUUUGCCUGAACAGCAACGAAGAGCUGAACCCAAAUCUUGACUUAGCAACAUCAAACUGCAACAGGUUAUCCUCCAACUGAUGCCCU